CAGUAGCCGCGGUAAUACGAAGGGUGCAAGCGUUAAUCGGAAUUACUGGGCGUAAAGGGUGCGUAGGCGGUUAUAUAAGACAGAUGUGAAAUCCCCGGGCUCAACCUGGGACCUGCAUUUGUGACUGUAUAGCUAGAGUACGGUAGAGGGGGAUGGAAUUCUGCGUGUAGCAGUGAAAUGCGUAGAUAUGCGGAGGAACACCGAUGGCGAAGGCAAUCCCCUGGACCUGUACUGACGCUCAUGCACGAAAGCGUGGGGAGCAAACAGGAUUAGAUACCCCAGUAGUCCCUGUCUCUUAUAC
rnacentral:rRNA from 1 species